ensembl:lncRNA
AUGGUGAGCACAACAUUUCCCCAAAUAUUUUCUCAUGAAGAAAAAAAAAACUACAAAUCUACAUCUUUAAAUGGUCCAGAGGGGGACAGGUGUCUCCAAUUUUUUCAGCCCAUUUGUGCAUGUGUCUGGAUAUUCACUGAUGCUGAAAGGGUCAUAGACAGCUGGCUGUUAGAAAUGUGGUCUGUUAGUAAAUACAAGGUGCUACAGAGCCUCUCCACGUCUAAUGGAUCUGUUAAAGACAUUGGAUGUAUUUCAUGCAUAUACAUCUGUUGAACUAUUUUAUAUUGUUUGGCAAAAAGUUUAGCAGUUGUAAAUAUGGUUAUUAUUUUACAUUGUUAGUGUUGUAGACUAUAAUACAUCAGGAUAUGUAUAAAUUCUUAAUGGCAUAUUUAUGGCAUAUUUUGUGAUUCAUUACACAAUGCAGUAUCGUCAAAUAGUCUUCUUUUAAUGGAAUCAGCAUAAAUCUUAGCAAGUGCACUCAUAUAAAACAAAGCCAAAGCAGUCUAGACUUUGGAAUGUAUCUUUAGCUAAUUUCCCUUGUCUUAUUUAAUGCUGUAUUUUUCUAAGGGUCAGUGUGGAGGGACUAUGUUUUUAAUGGUGUCAGGGAGCAGGCACACAGUCGACUGCAGAAUUGGUUGAAAUUCACCUGCAGUGCAACAGCGUUGACCCUGAAGGCCAGACUAAUUCACCUCACCACUAUUCACUGCUGUCCUUCCGAUUUUGCUUCUCUAUCUCCUGUUGUAUCAAUUUCUCUUAGUCCAGGUUUUUCUGUCACUGUUGAACAGGUCAUCGCAUCAAAGGUUAAGUAAACUGAUUCAUGUGCAUCCGUCUCUCAUAUGCCCUGAUGUGACUACCCAUUUGCUGAGGAGUGUGAUGCACCAAUGUUGCCUUUCCCACACUUGUAAAUAACUUUUGAAGCAUCAGUUCAUUUGAUUGCCAUUUAAUUAUCACCAGUUGUUUUAAGAAAGGAUGCACAAUAUAUUUUGGUACCAUAUCGAUUAUCGGGUCACUUUUUACAUUAGAUUGCUAUUGCCGUCUAACAAUUAAAGUGUAUCUUUAAAAAAAUAAAUCAUUUAAUUAAUCAUUUAGAGGAAUAGUUCACCUAAAAAUUUAAAUUUGCUAAAAAAAAUUACUCACCCUCAGGCGACCCAAGAUGUAAAUGAGUUUGUUUCUUCAUUAGAUUUGGAGAAAUUUAGCAUUACAUCAUUUGCUCACCAAUGGAUCCUCUGAAGUGAAUGGUUGCCAUCAGAAUGAAUGUCCAAACAGCUGAUAAAAACAUCACUAUAAUAAUCCACAAGAGAUUCAUAUGACUACAGUCCAUCAAUUAACAUUUUGUGAAGGGAAAGGCUGUGCGUUUGUGACAAUCACAUUAUAAAGUCCUUUUUACCUUCAUUGCUUCCAGGUAAAUUAGAAGUCCUUUUAUUGUGGAAAGCAUUAUUAGGGCCCGAGCACCGAUGGUGUGAGGACCCUCUUGUAUCUGCUUUGUUUAUUCUUCUUCUUCUUCUUCUUCUUCUUCUUCUUCUUCUUCUUCUUCUUCUUCUUCUUCUUCUUCUUCUUCUUCUUCUUCUUCUCCAAAAUGAAUCGCAUUUUUGAGGGCCUAAACAUGCUCGAAAAGUCCUGAAACUUUGCACACGCGUCAGACCUGGUGAAAAUUUACGUCUGAUAUAGGUUUCAGAAGAGGGUGUGACAAAAUGGCUCGACAGCGCCACCUAUCGUAAAAAAAUCAACAGCCCUCGAGCUGUGUUUCACGUACAUGCACGAAAAUUGGCACACAUAUGUAAAGCAUCAGUACCUACAAAAAAGACUCUUGGAGCAAUAUCCGAAACCCAACAGGAAGUCGGUUAUUUUUUUAAUUUUUAUGAGCAAAUUUUUGCAUCAUUUUUUUGUCAUUUGCAUGCCCUGUAUUUUUAACGAACUCCUCCUAGAGAUUUAUUCAGAUCAACACCAAAUUUGGUAUGCCUAAUCUAAAGGCCUUUGCGAUGUUAAAUUGCGAAGAUCUUGAGUUUUCGUUGAAGGGCGUGUCCGUGGCGGCCUGACGAAUUUCGAUGAUUCGCCAUGAAAAAUGAAGUUGCUAUAACUAUAAAUUUUACACUGUAACAAACUACCCCGAGAAAUUUUACGACAUACAUUUUUUUUUCAGUCACUCUAUUCUAAAGGCCUGUGCGAUGUUAAAUUGUGAAGAUCUUGAGUUUUCGUUAAAGGGCGUUUCCAUGGCGCCAUCACAAAGUUCGAUGUCUCGCCAUGGGAAUAAAAGUUAUUGUAACUCAGGCAUAAAAUGUCCGAUCUUGCCCAAACUUCACAUAUUCGAUAAGAGUCCUGGCCUGAACACAUCUGAAGGCCAAUAUUCCAUUGGGUGUGGCAAAAUGCCUCGAUAGCGCCACCUAUACAUUUUCAACGGAGUGCGCCUCGAGCUACGUUUCAUGUACAUGUACAAAAAUCGGUACACACAUGUAACACACCAGUACCUACAAAAAAGUCUCUUGGUACGAAAUUUGUGUCGUUUUUGCCAUUUUCAGGGGUUGUACUUUAACGAACUCCUCCUAGAGAUUUAUUCAGAUCAACACCAAACUUUGUCAGUGUAAUCUAAAGGCCUUUACGAUGUUAAAUUGCGAAGAUCUUGAGGUUUCGUUUAAGGGCGUGUCUGUGGCGGCCUUACAAAUUUCGAUGUUUCGCCCAGAGAAAGGAAGUUGCUAUAACUCAGACAUACAAUGUACAAUCUGCCCCAAACUUCACAUGUUUGAGAAGACUCCUAACCUGAAUAUAUCUACAUGCCAAUAUUCAGAUAUCGCUAUAGCGCCACCUGCUGGCAACAGGAAGUGACAUGUAUUACGCCGUAACAAACUACUCCUAGAUAUUUAUGACAUUUUAUAAUUUUUUUUGGUCAGUCUAACCUAAAGGCCUUUACGAUGUUAAAUCGUGAACAUCUUGAGGUUUCAUUAAAGGGUGUGGCCAUGGCGCCGUGACAAAGUUCGAUGUCUCGCCAUGGGAAUAGAAGUUGUUGUAACUCAGGCAUAAGAUGUCCGAUCUUCCCCAAACUUCACAUGUUUGAAAUUUCAUAUGCUUGAUAAAAGUGCUGGACUGAAGAAAUGUACAUGCCAAAAUCUAGUUAUAGUCAUAGCGCCACCAGCUGGCAGCAGGAAGAUUGGCACACAUAAAUGACUUUGACAUAUUUCUCUUAUAUUUACCACAUUAAAUGCAUAUAUCUCGCCUUUCGCUGUUUUACAAAAGCCACCCGCUGGCGGUGAGCCCGGGUGUGAGGGCCCAUUCAUCGCUGCUUGCAGCUUUAAUUAUGGAUUAUAACUUAUGAUAUUUUGGCCAGAAGCAAAGGUAUAAUGUCAUACCACCUUAAUAAUGGAUUUAUUUCUUAAAAACAUGCACCUUUUCACUUCACAAGACAUUAAUUGAUGGACUGGAGUGGUGUGGAUUAUUGUUAUUUUUAUCAUCUUUUCUGACGGUACCCAUUCACUGCAGAGGAUUGAUUAGUGAGCAAGUGAUGUAAUGCUAAAUUUCUCAGAUUCUACGUUGAUGAAGAAACAAGCUCAUCUACAUCUUGGAUGAUCUGAGGGCUAGUAAGUUCAGCAAGUUUUCAUUGUUUUUGUGAACCAUUUGUUUAAAUGAGUUUCCAUUUGUUGCAGAAUAAGCUACAGGCAUUUGUUUAUUUUUUUUUUAAUUUGUGCUAAUUACAGCAUGUAAAGAACAUGUAUCUAUGAUUUUGGUAGCUUUUUUAUGGCAUCCUAUGUGUUGCGUAUGUUGCAUACUCAUUUUUGCAUAUGCAUAUGCCAGUUCAUAUGCCAGUUGCCUGCAUAUGCCAGUUUAUUGCAUUUCAUGUCAGUAGAAGGAAAUUUGAUCUCUUGUUCCAUCCUCAGUACAUUCGGCACCAACUCGAGCUGUUGAACUAAGUCUUGAAGAGAGAUUCCUUUUAGGUUUUUUCAUGCUUGAACUUAUCAAAUCCCGUCCCGAUGUUCUGUGGCAAAAACAAACGGCAUCCAAAUUCCAAAGGUAAUGAAAUUUAAAAUGCUUGAGUGUGUCGUUAUCCUUCGGCCAACUUUAUCUCUUUUCAUUAAAUUGUACAUACGAAAAAUAUAUUUUAUUGAUGUCUUCUCACAUCUUGCUUUCUCACAAGAAACUACAAGCCAUGCUUUAUCAACCCACAUCUGUUUAUCCACCUGUUAGCAUCGUAAUGAAAUGUUUACACCAACUGAAUUAAUCAUGUCAAAUCCCAUGCUGUUUUAGGUAAUUGCCAGGCAAAAUUUGCCAAAGAAAGUCUUUGUUUGUCCUCAUAAGCCAGGCAAUGGUUGGCUGGAGAGACAGUUGUCAGACUGUCGACAGUCUCGGCACCACUGUAGGCAUGCUUAAUGAUACAGUGGGGAAUAGCGGGGCUGCCACUGCCAGUACUUCCCUUUAGAAGACACAUGUUGAGUGGAUGAAGAGGAAAAACAACAUGGGGACGCUGCCAAAAACGCGUGCGCACAAAAGAAGGGACUAGGUUAAAGAGAGAGGACUUAUUCACAGAUGGUUGCCAUAGCGACACAAAUUGAAAAGAGGGUAUUUAAUGCAAACAGCAUCUGGCCGUAGUUAUUUUUUUUAUAUCUAGUUGACGUGACGUUGGCGUUCAACUGCAGAUGCAUGCUCAAUGCUGCAUUAUUUCCAAUGAUGUUUGACAUUUUCAGCAGCUUCAUUCAGUCCUUUCAUUUUUAGCUUGUAAUAUAAAUACCUGAGAUGCUUAAAUUAGGCCCGGUGGGAGUUUGGAUCCUCUGCCAGAAUUUGGGAGAUGCAAAUGUGUGCUUCACUCUGAAAUGACAGUGGGACUUCCAAGCUGUCCUGUCUACAUCCUUGUGGUGAUGCUUAUUUUUAGCGUGAAUGACUGCAAAAAUAGAUUUUAGCAUUUUGGAAAGAAGUAUGGUUCUGGAACAAUCUACAUUGCUAUGUAGUUGAUAGGUUGCUCUAGAACAGUGGUUCUCAAACGUUUUGACAUGAAGGCCCCUCAAUUUCCAACACAAUAUUUGAUAUCCGAUGCAUAAUAUAAUAUGAACUACAUUAACUAGUAAUAUAUUUUCAACAGGAACUGGGAGUAUUAAUAUAGAUGAAUAAAUACAAUUAAAGUUUUAAAAAAGUUAU